GUACAUACAUAUUUUAUUUUUUGCUGCACAAAAUCUACUAGUCAAUUUUUGAGGAAGUUAUCUUUUUGAAUAAAAAAAAUAAGAUCAGUUCUUUGCAAACUAGAAAAAAAUAUUAUUUUAAUUGUUGACACAUUAUGUACAAUGAGGUACAUACAUGUACAUUGAACAUAUGUAGGUACCUCAUCAUCCAAUUGACACGAGUCAACAACACUUCAUUACGUUUAAAAACAUAUAAAACAGAAAAAUGUAUUUGUGGAGAUUUUACAAAAUUGAAGAAAAAGAUGAAUUUAUAAAAAAAAUCCACAUGAAUGCACGAAACUAGCAUUUACAUAUCCGAUUGUAAGAACUCGAGCUAUAAAGACAACCUUGUCCUAGCUUUGUUUUUGUUUCUAUUUCCAAAGACAACUGUAAAUAUUCUUUUUUUCUCGUCGUCGACAAGCGAUCAACUCUCCUGCACCUAUUUUCAACGCAUUACCACCAGCCACACCACACCACAAAAAAUCAAAAUAAAACAGUUUUGUUUUCAUUUGUGAAGAAUGAUCAUGGUGUAUUAUGUGUUACUGUGCAUUAGGAUUAUGAGAGGAAAAGAACAUACAAAAAUGAUUUCAGAUUUUUCCUUGCCUUAGUUUUCAUUCAUAGGAAAGAACAUAGAGGAAAUAUAUUAUCUAGAGUCCCGACCGGUACCCGUCCUACCUGAAACACCCUCAAAUUUUAUUCGAGGUGAACUCUCCCAAAUUCGAGGUGAACUCUCACAAAUUCUCUAUCGGUGAAUACAUGUGAGUGGAGAAAAAAAAGCAAAAUGGGGGAUUGGGCUAAAAAGAAACUUAUGGAAUUUUUGUGACCUGUCAAAAAUGACAAUCAAUUUUGCAAAACAAAACAAUGGGUUUCGGAUUUUUAGAGUAAGUUUUUGUUAAUUGUUUUGAUUUUUAAUAUAAUUUGAUAUUUUUCAGACCAAAAUUCUUUAUAAUGAAGAGGGUAUAUACAAGUUCACUUCAUUGAAUAAAAAUUAAGUCAAAAUGCAGUGAAGGAGGUGCAACAAUAAUGGAUUUAUUUUAUGCCAAAAUGCAGGAAGCAAUUUCCUUUAAGUAAUUUGGAAAGCAAACCAAACAAGGCGCUGAUUUGCAGGUAAGUUUUUUGUAUAUUAUAUUUCUCUUAACAAAAUAAUAUCAAUGUUUUUAACUACAGAUACUGCCCAUUGUUUUUGUAUGUACUUCUCAACUGCAAUAGCUGCCGCAGGUGUUGAUGGCGGAGGUGUCACCAUCAAAACCAUUAGAAACAACACGACCAAGUCAAUGAUGCAAGUGGAAGUUUUGCCAUGUAAUAGUCGACCGCUGACGCCCUUCUCCAUCAAUUGUGUAAGUGUAAAGAGUACUACCAGUCUGCAGUUCUGCAAGAGACGCAAACAAAACAAGAAUACAAUCGCAGGAAGACUCCAAAAAAUGUCCAACCCUGACUGUAAGUGAGUUCAAAUUUUAAAUCUACAACGAAUCCAUUCAUUUUGCUCCUAAGGAUCGCACUGGCUUAACGGUGUCAAUCAUUCGAAAGCAAAUGAGCUGGCCCGACAAGAAUCCCCCAAGAAGCCAAACAGAUUCAGAUCAGUCUCUCGGCAGCUACUGACAAUGUCGGCGAAUUAAAUCUAUCGAUUUUCACACAGGAAAUCAACAUCAAAAAAAUCACGACAAUUCAGCAGCGUCAUGGUCAACCUGCCGAUCAACCAUUCACAGUGAACAACCUCUAUUCGUAGCAGAAGCGAUCUCUGCGUUGUCGACAAUGCGAACACAAUGUCAUCAAGCCGGAGUACCAUCCAGGAUCGAUCAAGUAUCGCAUUCAAUUGUUUGCUAACUACCAUGUGCCAGACGUUCUGCUUGUGCGUUGUUAAAAGCCACUGAAGCCUGGCACGUCCACUGAAUUGAUCCUCAAGCUAACUAACCCAACGAUGUACCAUAUGACCACAACCAUUAUGAAACUGCUAACCAAGGAAGAAGAACGGCGAAUGAUCGACUUCGAAUAAAAGUUCAACGAAAGGAACCAAAAUUCACCACUUGGAGAAAGUCCAAUAACGUAACAAUUAAAUUGAACUUCACACCUGAAGAAGGAUUGAAACCAGGCGAUGAUGUUACCCUUAGUUUCUUGAUGAAAUAUACUUUUGUGAAUACAUACACACGCCCGAAAAGAAAGAAUGUCAAAAACACGCAUUAUCAUCGAAAGUUUUUGUAAAAGUUGGUCAAAUUGAAGCCUAGAUUUAUUUCUAUGUAUAUCUAGAAAAUAAUCUUUUUUGCAAAAAAAUUGUUUAUUUAAUUGUUUAUUUUUGAUGCUGAUUACGAAUACGAACUUCGAUUUUAGCUAAAAAACUAUUUUCAACAUAAUUUUUGUCUAUUUUCAAUUUACUACAGGAACUUGAUGUUUUAACCUAAGACUUCAAAUUCGUAAUAAAAAGUACGAAACAAAUUUGAAUACUGAGGAAAAAUAUUGUAGGUUCGAAAAAACAUACAUAACUCAUUUUUUUUUUUGAAAAAAGCUAUUUCAUGAAUUUAGAUUAAAAAGUCUACAUGUUUAAUGAUUUAAAUAAUUCCUCAUCACAGAAAAGAAUACAAUAUUAAUAUUAAGGACUUUUAACUAAAAUGUGAAUUUUAAUUGCAUAAUCUAAACAAAUUGUUUUUAUUCAUAUACUCAUCCUUGCCAACAAAAAUGGAACAUUAACCAUUUUGAACGGAUCGAUUCAAAAUCGAACACUAUGAACAAAAGAAAACAUAAGAAAUUAACAACUUGAAAAUCCAAGAAGUUAAACUGCAACAAAGCAUUAACAGCACCAACAGUAAAUAAAUGAACGCUCAUAGAGUGAACUAUG